CAAAUCAUGGUUUCAAGACAAACCUAAGUACAGAAAUGAAGAAGAAAUGAAAAUCUAAGCUAAGGGAAAGAAAAACUAAGUGAAAAUGGUGAAGAAUCUACUGCUAGAACAUUGGAGAAGACGUCCUUUUAGCUGCUGCAACAAUGAUCCAAGAUGUUUCUCUCUCUUCUUUUCUCUCUAGUAAGAAUCCUUUUAUUUCCCCCUUCAGCUAAGAAAAGAAAAAGAUGAUUUUAUAUCCUUUAGCGGUUUGCCUUAAAAUGGGUUAAGAUGAUAGUAGAUUCUGGAGAAAAAAUAAUAUAUUAGGUCAGAGGAAAAGGAUUGCCAAGUCAGCAUUUUUCAUUAAAAUGACACAAGCUGAAUCAAGUUGUGUUGCGCUUGUGUUGCAGUUGUAUAACUUUCUAUCCAAUUUUGGAAUUUGUUAGGUGCAUCAACACUGGCUAAAUGAGUUGUGUCUAAGCUUGUGUAACUUUCUGCCUGAGAUUUUUAUCUGCGACACAACCUAUGACAUAAUUUACACAAGCUGUGUCAUAGGUUGUGCAACUUUCUAUUUUUUUAAAACUCAACUUCAAAUUAUUCUCUUUAAAAUUUUGCAAUUCAUCUUUGAUUUCUUCCAAAUGGUUGCUCUGAUCUAAAUAUCAUCAAAAUUCUCCAAAUUUUAACCUUCUAGUCACCUGUCCAAUGUUGCUAUACCUCCUAUAUUGCCUUGCCCUUAUCUGAACCUACGGACAUUCACAAGAACAAUCCGCUAAGCAAUAAUGCCUAGUGGUGUAUUUAAUCUUGUGUUGUGUGUGUGGUAAUAUGCAUAGAAUGUAUAUAAUAUGGCAUGCUAUAAUGUAUACAUAUAAAAUGAGCAAAUACCAAUAUAAAGGCAUUUAUAAUUUAUUAAGAUAUAAUCAUUAUAACAUAUAUAAUUAUUAUGAGUCAUACUAAUCAUAAUUCACAUGGUAAUUGCAAGUCACAUACAUGACCACCAUUAUAGUAAGAAUUUGUGUGUACGAUUCUCAAUGCCAUUUGUAUGCACCUUCAUGCUCAUUUAUAACAUCCUGACAUCCCAAUCUUCAUAUUAUUCCCACACACAUAUCAUAUUAUCAUGUAACACAACCAUGCACACAAAUCAACACCUUAGGCAUCAUGCCACAUUGAUUUCUAUAUAAUUUAUUAUCACAAUGCCCAUGUCAUUUAUAAUGGUGGUGACAAGUAACACGUCAUGGCUUUUAGCCAAGAAUUUCCUCCCCUUGACUCCCAUCAUGGCUCCUUACCAAGUGCACAUCAUGGCUAUAUGCCAAGCUAUAAUCACGUCACGGCUACAUGCCAACUAAAUCAACGUCAUGGACAUAGGCUAAGUAAAUCCACAUCAUGGUAAUUUAAGCAACGUAUGCGCAUAUAUAAAUGAAUGACUAGUCAUUACAAGGGGGUAUUAAACACAUCAUGUUACCAUUGAUUAUCGUUAACAUGGGCUUAAUUUGGUGUUUCUAGCAAUAAAUAUCACAUUUGUGGCUAUUCAUAUCAUUUACAACUCAUUUAACAUAAUAAUGGCACAUGCAAUGCAAUAAUCAACACGCAGCAUAAAUUUUUGGAAAAUAACAGCAUAACAGUCAUCUUGUAAAAUAUGCCAUUAAUCCUACAGUAGUCCAAUCAUCAUUAAACUUUACAGAAACAUAGAAUUAUGAGUCUAUUUAAUUCUCCAACUUGUUUCACCUCAAUCUGAGUUACAGAACUCUAGUUAUGAAUUUUUUAAAAGCUGCUAUGCACAGCACAGGACCUAUAUUAAGCACUAAAAUGUUUUGCUCUCUUUCAGUAUGCUACCAUCCGAAUUAGCCUUUGACCCAAACUACAAAGUUGUAGGGCUCUCUCAUAACUUGAAUUUAGGCAUAAGAUUCAAUUAAAAAUCUUUCUUAUAGCCUGAAUUAUGAUUAGAAAUUUGCUAUAACAAAACAAAGUGUAAAUUCCAGCAGCAGUAUAAAUCAGAACAGUAAUUUUGCAUAAGCAAUAUGUAAUUUGAUUUGAUAGAAUCAGUUCUUCCACAAAACAUGAAACUUUUAGCUCUUUGAUUGAAUUUCAUUUUAUACAUAAGAUUUGCAUGAGAACCAUUUAAAUUGACUGAGAUAUGCCCUCUCAAAGUGGACUGUUCCAGUAGUACUAUAAUCAAACUUAAAUCAAACAGCAUAUAGGCAAUCAAUAUUCACAAUACCACCCAUACAAUUUACAUCAAAUCAAAUGCCAAAGCCCAAGGGUAAUACACUAAUCUAUUGAACUUGAUUUCCAGCAAAUUAAAAUGCACAAUUUGCCUCCAAAGAUUCAAGAUCAAUCGGCCAACACCAAAAACCCCCAAUUUGAUAACCUAACAAAAAUCAAUUGAAUCUCCCUUUAAUUUCUCCCAAUUCAAUUUGGCCAAUUAGGAUUUAGGGCUUCCCUUGCACCAAUCUCAAUUCAAUUCAACACUUCAAAAUUCUCUCUUCAACACGUUUUCUUCAAAUUUUUUCAAUGCCAAGAAUCGAUUAAAUCAAUGAUUGGGGAAGAGGAAAUUCGGCUAUGGAGGGUGUAAGGGUUUGGUGUGCUCUUCCUUUGUUUGAUUGAAGAGAAAUUUUGAUAUGUUGGGAAUGUAGGUGUCGGCUAGGGUAGAGUUUGUGGCUGAAGUGUUUAG
rnacentral:misc_RNA from 1 species